rnacentral:misc_RNA from 1 species
AAGUCGUAACAAGGUUUCCGUAGGUGAACCUGCGGAAGGAUCAUUAACACGUAUUUCUACGUACCUUCAACCAACUGUGCAUAUGAGUAGAAUGUAGAGUACUUGUUGUACUUUUACUCUUCUAUCUCCUUCUGUUUUUCACGUUUUGCACCCAUUUCUUCUAUUGUUUUUGUGUGUGAGUAUCUUGUUAUACUCUCCUCUAUUCUAUUUGAAUGGUAACUACACAACUGUUAGCAAUGGAUAUCUUGGUUCUC